rnacentral:rRNA from 1 species
UACGUAGGGGGCAAGCGUUGUCCGGAUUUAUUGGGCGUAAAGAGCGUGUAGGCGGCCAGGUAGGUCUGCUGUGAAAACUCGAGGCUUAACCUCGAGCUGUCGGCGGAAACCAUCUGGCUAGAGUCCGGAAGAGGAGAAUGGAAUUCCCGGUGUAGCGGUGAAAUGCGCAGAUAUCGGGAAGAACACCCGUGGCGAAGGCGGUUGCCUGGAGCUUUGCUGACGCUGAUGCGCGAAAGCGUGGGGAGCGAUCCGG